GAUGAACGCUGGCGGCGUGCCUAAUACAUGCAAGUCGAGCGAACAGACGAGGAGCUUGCUCCUCUGACGUUAGCGGCGGACGGGUGAGUAACACGUGGAUAACCUACCUAUAAGACUGGGAUAACUUCGGGAAACCGGAUCUAAUACCGGAUAACAUGUUGAACCGCAUGGUUCAACAGUGAAAGACGGUCUUGCUGUCACUUAUAGAUGGAUCCGCGCCGCAUUAGCUAGUUGGUAAGGUAACGGCUUACCAAGGCAACGAUGCGUAGCCGACCUGGUAGGGUGGUCGGCGACACUGGAACUGGGCCACCGUCCAGACUACUACGGGAGGGAGCAGAAGGGAAUCUUCCGCAAUGGUGGAAAGCCUGACGGAGCAACGCGACGUGAGUGAAGAAGGUCUUCGGAUCGUAAAACUCUGUUAUUAGGGAAGAACAAAUGUGUAAGUAACUAUGCACGUCUUGACGGUAACUAAUCAGAAAGCCACGGCUAACUACGUG
rnacentral:rRNA from 1 species